rnacentral:rRNA from 1 species
UCGUAAGCGUGCCAGCAGCCGCGGUAAUACGGGGGGUGCAAGCGUUAAUCGGAAUCACUGGGCGUAAAGGGUGCGUAGGCGGUACGUUAGGUCUGUCGUGAAAUCCCCGGGCUCAACCUGGGAAUGGCGGUAGAAACCGGCGCACUAGAGUAUGGGAGAGGGUGGUGGAAUUCCGCGUGUAGCAGUGAAAUGCGUAGAUAUGAGGAGGAACACCGAUGGCGAAGGCAAUCCCCUGGACCUGUACUGACGCGAAUGCACGAAAGCGGGGGGAGCAACCAGGGAUCGAAAACACAGUAGGACC